GGCGCGUUCGUCUAAUGUCAGGACGUCACCCUUUCACGGUGAAAAUGCAGGUUCGUUCCCUGCACGCGCUACUA
rnacentral:tRNA from 1 species